UACGUAGGGUGCGAGCGUUAAUCGGAAUUACUGGGCGUAAAGCGUGCGCAGGCGGUUCGUUAAGUCAGAUGUGAAAGCCCCGGGCUCAACCUGGGAACUGCAUUUGAAACUGGCGGGCUUGAGUGUGGCAGAGGGGGGUGGAAUUCCGCGUGUAGCAGUGAAAUGCGUAGAGAUGCGGAGGAACACCAGUGGCGAAGGCGGCUACCUGGCCCACUCUUGACGCUGAGGCACGAAAGCGUGGGGAGCAAACAGG
rnacentral:rRNA from 1 species